rnacentral:lncRNA from 1 species
AUCUUGGUCAGAGUUUUGAUUCAAAUUUGACGCUUUCUCACUAUGAAUUGAGUCCAAAAAAGGGACAAACUGUACUGUUUCUUGGAGACCUCUCCUAUGCGGAUCAGUACGAGAAUCAUGAUAAUGUGAGGUGGGAUACUUGGGGAAGGUUUACAGAAAGAAGUGUUGCAUAUCAACCAUGGAUUUGGACUGCAGGGAACCAUGAACUAGAUAAUUAUCCAGAAAUUGUAAGCUUCUCAAACGAAUUCACUUUUCUUUGUGUUUUUCAACGAAAAAUCAUAACUUUGGUGUAAUGCAUUUUCCCAGUCCAAAUGUUGGUAAGAAUAGAGUUUUUAACAUACAUGAACACUUUUUUGCAGGGUGUAACCGUACCUUUCAAGCCUUAUUCCCAUCGUUAUCAUGUUCCUUACAAAGCAUCUCAGAGCACUUCACCCUUCUGGUAUUCUAUCAAGAGAGCUUCAGCACACAUCAUUGUCUUGUCCUCAUAUUCUGCAUAUGGUAAUUCCCUCCAACGUCUUUUGCAUCAUUCAUUAGUCUAUGAUUUCAGAUUAACUCGGUUCUGUUUCUAAUAAUAUUUCAUUUAGCAAUUAGCUAUAAUUUACAACAGAAAGAUGAAAUUAUGCAAAAUCAUUUCAGCUCUUAGAUCUGUAUCUAUCUAUAUGUAUGUAUCAACUUCAUGUGGAAUGUUAUUGUUUAUCUAAAAGCAUGAUGUCGGUUUUGUUAAGUUCUUGACCAACAACACUUACCUCAAUAAUCUGCGUGUCUGUUUCGUUUUGGAUUCAAUGCUCACCUAAUCUUUGAUGCCACUACUUUGAAAGUGGUAGCGCUUUUGUUAUAAUAAUCAUCGUUAUUCUCAGGCAAAUAUACGCCACAGUAUAGAUGGCUUGAACAGGAGCUACCGAAAGUUAACAGGACAGAGACUCCUUGGUUGAUUGUUCUCAUGCAUGCACCUUGGUACAAUAGCUAUAAUUAUCACUACAUGGAAGGAGAAACAAUGAGAGUAAUGUUCGAAACCUGGUUUGUGGAGUACAAGGUUGAUGUUGUGUUUGCUGGUCAUGUGCAUGCCUAUGAACGAUCUGUAAGUGCUAAAACAUGACUUCAUCUGCAAUUUCUAAUGCUUCUGAAAGCCACCAAUAUCAAUCAUGUACCAUCAGGCUUGCUUACAAGCUUGAAAACAUAUUCUAUUUAUAAAAUUUAAGAUGGAAAUAAACAACAAAAAUAUUGUGCAAAUGCAUUUUAAUAAUCUCUUUGGAAUGAGUAUAUGAUUGAUGGGCUGCUAUGUAUCAGGAACGUGUUUCUAACAUUGCAUACAACGUUGUAAAUGGCAUUUGCACUCCUGUAAAAGAUCAAUCAGCUCCUGUAUAUAUCACCGUUGGUGAUGGAGGAAACCUUGAAGGCUUAGCAACCAAGUAAGCUCAUCGAACGUGACAUGAUGAUUCUUGUCACUUUUCUCCUUACUUUUAUGUCAUUAAGCUUGAACAUGUAUUUACUAAGUCUGAUAUGAACUGCAGCAUGACAGAACCACAACCUGAGUAUUCUGCAUAUAGAGAAGCCAGCUUUGGACAUGCCAUGUUUUCCAUAAAGAACCGAACGCAUGCUCAUUACAGCUGGAACCGAAAUCAUGAUGGAAUUGCCGUGGAGGCUGAUUCCGUUUGGUUUUUCAAUCGAUACUGGCACCCAGUUGAUGAUUCCACUGUUCAUGAGUGAUAUUAACGCACACUUUCACUACAACAAUGCAUAAUUUGACGUCAAUAAAUUCAUCAGUCGGCAACUAUUUGCUGCCAAUACCACCAACAAUGAUCUUCAAUGUCUCUGAAAUAGUUACAGUUGACAAUUGCAAAUUGCGUGCUUCUAUUCUGAAAUUGCAUUGCAUAAAGUCCAAGCGAAUUUUGAAAGAUAUUUUUUCAAUUUAAAAGUUAAAAUUAUGUUACAAAUUGUAUAAUUUAUAAUUUAUUUUUUUUUAAGUUAAUUUCUUUAUUUUGAAUUAAGCAAUUAAAAAAUUAAUGGAUAAUAAAAAAGUUAAAAUUAGCUUUCAGUCCAAAAGUUAAAAUGAUGUUUCAGAUUAGAUUGCAUAAGAACACAUAUUUUUGAAAUAUAAAUUAGAUUUUAAAUUGCAUAAUUUAGAAUGAACUCCAACCUAAAAAUUCCCAUUGCUCAACAUAAAUUAGAUUUUAAAUUUAAUGAUCUUCAUUUCAGCUCAAAUAAUGUGAAAAUCUACCACUCAAUACCUCCACUUGCUGACCAAUCUAAGCAAAAAGCAAUAACGGUGUGCCUAUUUCAUUACCAUAUAAUAGAAGAAGGGUACUAUUGGCAGUUUGAGUUUUAUGGGCUUGCAUAUGGACAUUAUAGGGGUGGAAAAAGAAAUAUUCAAGAACUGUUUAACUUGUUGGACUUUUCUCCCUACACCCUCAUAAUUUCUUUCUCUAGCUUGAUAAUUUCAUCUUGUACUUUCUUAUAUUUAAAAAAAUUCAAUGUUACCCUCUUUUUGUAUUGAGACCUGAUGUAAGUGUUUCAUUAAAAAAGUUUUGUUUUGAAAAUUUCACAAAAAACAAAAGAAAAAUUAAAAAAAAAUAGUGAAAAUAUUUUAUACAAUUUAAAUUAAUGAUUUGUGAAUAAUAAAUACAAUAAUUAAGUAUUUAUUAAGGGAGUAAUUAUUUUUGAAAAAAUUAUUCAAAAAAUUAAUAAUUCAUGAAAAAAAAUUAUAAAAAAUAUUAUUUCCUAUUUUUAUUCAUAUUAUUAUUGGAUGGAGGGAAAAUGAUAAAAGAGUGAAUGAAAAUAAAUAAUAAAAUUAGAUUGAUGCGAAAAACAACAAAUGCUGUAUAAAUAAUUAAUAAUAAGCUCUUUUAUCUUUUUUGUUUGAAUUCCUUGAUUAUUUUUUUAGCCUUUUUCAUUCCUUUUAAGUAUACAUUUUUAUAUGAUUGGACGUAUAGAUAAUUCCAUGCUGUAAUAAAAGUAAUUAACUCUACAACUACGACGAUAUAUAUUAAUAUAUAUCCUACUACAAUAUUAAAAUUUGGCUUGCAGAAUAUUGAGGUAAAGAUCUGAAAUUCAGAAACCAUUUUGAAUAUUUUUUUUUAAGAAAAAAGUUUUUUUAACAGAAUUUUUUUUUAUAAUUUUUUAAUUACGUAUACAUGACAAUUUAUGAUUAUUCGUUUCAAAUUUUUUUUAAAAUAAAUUCAAAUAAACGAUUGAAAUAGUGACACGUCUUCUAUUAUAAAAAAAUUAUUAAAAAGUAUGAUUAAAAUAUCAUUCUCUUUUUUAACCGACAACAACUAAAUAAUCUAAUAAAAAGAGAAGAAGAAGCACGUGACAAAGGAUAUUCAUGAAGGAAGGAAAUCUAUAUAAUAUAUUUAAAGGUUAGUCAACAAGUAAUUAUAAAAUAUGUAAGUCAUUUUCAUUCAUUCACGUUGUUUAAUUUAUUGUUUUCAAUUUAAUUUCAAAUUUAUUAUUUAUAUAGUAAAUUAAAAAUAAAUUAAACUAAACAAUAAAUUAUUGGGGGAUAAUCUUGGAAGUCGCAUGAACAUUAUUUUAAGGACAACAUUUUGCCACAUAGUAAGCAUAAAAUAUUACUAAUUUAAGGAUGAAUGUGUAAUUGCAUGCACCGUAUUACUGCUCAUGAAUGCGCAACAAGACAAGCUUCCUCACAAAGAGUAAUUCACUUGAAACAAAUAACAGAGAAAUCUGGUGAACAAUUUUCUUUUUCAUGGAAGAUGGAAGAGAAAGAGAAAAAGAAAAAGGAUGAAUAAGUUUGAGUGUUAGAGAUAGAGAGAGAACUGAAAGAAAUACACAUGCAAGAAAACUACGGACAGGUUUCAUUGAUCAGCAAGAAAACAUCAUGGGCCCAUUGUCACGUUGACCCUUAAUCGGAAUAUUCCUUGUUAUAUGCCAUUCACAACUACCCUUCUUGUUAAUAUUAUUGUUUCGUUGAUUGCAAAGGAUUGAAAUAAUAAAUAGGACUUGAAUCAGUAGGAUCUCGGGGUUCGAGCAAAAUGGGUGUUGUGGAGGGUCUCUUAGCUUUAACUUUGUUUCUGAAUGUGGUUGUUGUGUGUAAUGGAGGCUCGAGCAGCUUCUUCGUUAGGAAAACCGAGAAAUCUGUGGAUAUGCCACUUGACAGUGAUGUAUUUUCUGUUCCUCCUGGUUAUAAUGCUCCUCAGCAGGUACAUACUUAUCUGGGUUUCCCUUCUUUUCUAAUUCUGUUAAAUAUUAUGUUCAUGUAAGAUAGGAGAGGACUUACUCUAGAGUUGAGGAAAACGGUGAAUGAUUCUCUGCUUAGUUUCGGGAUGAAAGUUCAAUUCUUUUUCGGGAUGAAAGUUCAAUUCUUUUUUCUUUAGGAGUUUUCUUUGAAUUGAAUUGAAUCAAUGACAAUGGCUGCUAUGCAUAAGGUUCAUAUAACGCAAGGUGACCUUGUGGGGAGGGGAAUGAUAGUGUCAUGGGUGACGAUAGAUGAACCGGGGUCGAGUGCAGUGCGUUACUGGAGUGAGAACAGUGGGGAGAAGAAGAUUGCAGAAGGACAAAUUGUUACUUAUAAGUUCUUCAAUUACUCAUCUGGGUUUAUUCACCACACCACCAUCAGAGAUUUAGAGGUACUUCUCUUUUCCAUUAUUUANAUNUUAUGUUNUNUGUUGUCCAGAUGCAGAACAAGGANGAGAAGCUUGUGAGAUAAAAGAAAAGUGCUAUCUGUUAGUGUCUUAAUAGGCCAAUAUGUUUGUUGUAAACUGGUGUGACAUUAUUUGUAGGGGAUCUUGGUCAGAGUUUUGAUUCAAAUGUGACUCUUUCUCACUAUGAAUUGAGUCCAAGAAAAGGAGAAACUGUACUGUUUGUUGGAGACCUCUCUUAUGCUGAUAACUACCCGAAUCAUGAUAAUGUGAGGUGGGAUACUUGGGGAAGGUUUACAGAAAGAAGUGUUGCAUAUCAACCAUGGAUUUGGACUGCAGGGAACCAUGAAAUUGAUUUUGCUCCAGAAAUUGUAAGCUUUCUCAAACCAAUUCACUUUAUCUGGUUUCAACUAUCUGAAAAACUUCUUUUUGUUUUUCUCAACGAAAAAUUUUAGCUUUGGUGUAAUGCAUUUACCAAGUCCAAAUGUUGGUAAGAAUAGAGUUUUUAACAUAGAUGAACACUUUCUUGCAGGGUGAAACCGUACCUUUCAAGCCUUUCACCCANCGUUACCAUGUUCCAUACAAAGCAUCUCAGAGCACUUCACCCUUCUGGUAUUCUAUCAAGAGAGCUUCGGCACACAUCAUUGUCUUGUCCUCAUAUUCAGCAUAUGGUAAUUCCCUCCAACGACUUUUGCAUCUUACAUACUUUUUUAUGAUUUCAGAUUAACUCAGUUCUGUUUGUAAUAACUUCACUGAGGAAUAAGCUAUAAUUUACAACAGAAAAAUGAACUUAUGCUAAAUAAUUUCGGCUCUUAGGUCUGUAUCUAUCUAUAUGUAUGUAUCAACUUAAUGUGGAACGUUGUUGUUUAUCUAAAAGCAUGAUGUCGGUGUCCUUAAGUUCCUGACCAACGACACUUACCUUAAUAAUCUGUGUGUAUGUCUAUUCAAACAUAUAAAGUUGCUUACUUCCGGCACUCUGUUCUUUUAUUGGAUUAAAUGCACACCUAAUCUAUGAUGCCACUACUUUGAAAUUGGUAGCCCUUUUUGUUAUAAUAAUCAUCGUUAUUCUCAGGCAAAUAUACGCCGCAAUAUAAAUGGCUUGAAAAGGAGCUACCGAAAGUUAACAGGACAGAGACUCCUUGGUUGAUUAUUCUCAUGCAUUCACCUUGGUACAAUAGCUACAAUUAUCACUACAUGGAAGGAGAAACAAUGAGAGUAAUGUACGAAACCUGGUUUGUGAAGUACAAGGUUGAUGUUGUNUUUGCUGGUCAUGUUCAUGCCUACGAACGAUCUGUAAGUGCUAAAACUAAACCUCAUUUGAAAUUUCUAAUUCUUCUGAAAGCCAUC